GACGAAGGAUGCAAGCGUUAUCCGGAUUCAUUGGGUUUAAAGGGAGCGUAGGUGGACUGAUAAGUCAGUGGUGAAAUCUCUGGGCUUAACCCAGAAAUUGCCAUUGAUACUGUUGGUCUUGAGUACAGUUGCUGUGGGCGGAAUAUGACAUGUAGUGGUGAAAUACAUAGAGAUGUCAUAGAACACCGAUUGCGAAGGCAGCUCACAAAGCUGUAACUGACACUGAGGCUCGAAAGUGCGGGGAUCAAACAGGAUUAGAUACCCUGGUAGUCCGCACUGUAAACGAUGAUUACUCGCUGCUAGAUGGCAACAUUUAGUGGCUUAGCGAAAGCGAUAAGUAAUCCACCUGGGGAGUACGCCGGCAACGGUGAA
rnacentral:rRNA from 1 species